CCUACGGGAGGCAGCAGUGGGGAAUAUUGCGCAAUGGGCGAAAGCCUGACGCAGCGACGCCGCGUGAGGGAUGAAGGUCUUAGGAUCGUAAACCUCUGUCAGCAGGGAAGAACGGUCACUGUGCUAAUCAGCAGUGAAUUGACGGUACCUGCAAAGGAAGCACCGGCUAACUCCGUGCCAGCAGCCGCGGUAAUACGGAGGGUGCGAGCGUUAAUCGGAAUUACUGGGCGUAAAGCGCGCGUAGGUGGUAUGUCAAGUCAAGGGUGAAACCCCCGCGCUCAACGGUGGAACUGCCUUUGAUACUGGCAAACUUGAGUGUGUGAGAGGAUAGUGGAAUUCCAGGUGUAGGAGCGAAAUCCGUAGAUAUCUGGAGGAACAUCAGUGGCGAAGGCGACUAACUGGCACAUAACUGACGCUGAGGAGCGAAAGCGUGGGUAGCAAACAGGAUUAGAUACCCCAGUAGUC
rnacentral:rRNA from 1 species